GGUCCAAUGACCGCAUGCCAACUUCUCGUGUUAAAUCGAUUGUUCAAUAAGGACUUUGUAUCAAAUGCCACGACAGUUGUUUUUUUGUAACACAUGUUUUAGGUGACAACAUGUACAUCACAACAAUAAGAAUUUUAAAUCCUUUGUAUGGAUUGACAUAUCAGCAAGCUGCAAUAAGCUGAUGGAAUUCCUUUAUGUCUCAUACCAACCAAGUGUCAUCGGAAAUAUUGUAAGCAGUGUUUAAGGAAUACUCCAGCGGUCUGAGUUGCUGUAAUACUGUCAAGGUCAUAAUCAAUGAAUAUGAGUAAAAAAAGAUCACCAAAUCUGAAAUGGUGGAAUCAGCAUGAUGGAUUACCUUUUUCUGAAAUUUGGUUAGUCUCGCAGAAAAAAUGAGUGCUACAAUUUGUCAUGUUGAAAUGAGACAUUUGCUAAUGUCAAUAAAGUUUUCAUUCUGGGCUGAAGCCCACAGAACUAUUUUUCCAUACAGUUGGUGAACACGAAGAUAUGGUGGAUACUGCUGUAGUAAGACUGCCAAGACUAGGAACAUUCAACAACAACUUGUAAAGUCCUUGGAAGAUCUUUGUUGCCUAUGAGAUCAUUUGGCUUGUUUAUGGAGGUGAUGGUUUGGACCUACAUGGAAGCCAAAGAUAGCCUUGUGAAUUUUCAAAGAGCUCUUCAUAACACCAAAGCAGCCUUCUCUUGUGCUGACAAAGAUCUGUCAGAUCACAUUAAAUUAAAACAAGCUUUUAAUACAAUAAUGCAGGUUGUCCAAUUAAAUUGCUUGGAGUUGGAUUCACACAGCCUUAGGAUCUUAGCUCUAUCGGAAAGGAACACCUCUACCUAACCUGAAGUGUUCGUUUAACAUGGAUAAUUGGGUGUUUAUCUUUUACCAUGUUUGGUAAAUGAAGCUUUUCAAGUACAAGACCCUAGAAGGAUUGCACAGAUUAAUCUUUGAAUGCAUAUCUGGGCUCCCUUCUUUUCUGUGGCCCCCGCCCCGUAUAAGAUCAAAUUGCCGAGGUAUUUCGCCUCGUCCGGCAACUUACCAUCCAGCAACGCAUCCAUCAACAGAAUGUAUCAAAGAGGAAAGUAAUUGACCAAAUGCCGACUCGACGAUUUCUAUGCAAGAUGAAUGUUAUAAAUCCAAGAAGAUCUGGUGAGCAGGAUGCAACGAACUAUGUCAUGUCAAACCAUUAGCUGAACACAAUGAAUACCAUCAGUUCCUCAGAACGAGAGGUUAAUAAUUAUACUGAAUCAAAAGAGGCAUCAAGUUAAACGAGAUUUUAAAAUGAUAACAGUUGGAAGCGCAUGUGGAAAUUUCGAAGAACGCUACCUAAACGUUACCUUUAGUCGCUGAUUCAUCUCGAAGAUAAAAUAAGCUAUUUUUAUAAAUUUAAGUGCAUAUCUGGGCUCCCUUCUUUUCUGUGGCCCUGUUUCCCCUUGACUUAUGAUAAGCCCGUAGGGGGUCAUGCCCCUACUGUGAUCAGCAGCAAAGGUUGUGAGUGCG